rnacentral:rRNA from 1 species
CAGUCGCCGCGGGAAUACGUAGGGCGCAAGCGUUGUCCGGAAUUAUUGGGCGUAAAGAGCUCGUAGGCGGUCUGUCGCGUCUGGUGUGAAAUCCCGAGGCUCAACCUCGGGCUUGCAUCGGGUACGGGCAGACUAGAGUGCGGUAGGGGAGACUGGAAUUCCUGGUGUAGCGGUGGAAUGCGCAGAUAUCAGGAGGAACACCGAUGGCGAAGGCAGGUCUCUGGGCCGCAACUGACGCUGAGGAGCGAAAGCAUGGGGAGCGAACAGGAUUAGAGACCCCCGUAGUCCCUGUCUCUUAUAC